rnacentral:rRNA from 1 species
UACGAAGGGGGCUAGCGUUGUUCGGAAUUACUGGGCGUAAAGCGUGCGCAGGCGGCUUCUCAAGUCAGGGGUGAAAGCCCAGAGCUCAACUCUGGAAUUGCCUUUGAGACUGUGAGGCUUGAGUACGGGAGAGGUGAGUGGAAUUCCCAGUGUAGAGGUGAAAUUCGUAGAUAUUGGGAAGAACACCGGUGGCGAAGGCGGCUCACUGGCCCGAAACUGACGCUCAUGCACGACAGCGUGGGGAUCAAACAGG